rnacentral:rRNA from 1 species
GGGGGACCUUCGGGCCUCGCACCAUCGGAUGUGCCCAGAUGGGAUUAGCUAGUAGGUGGGGUAAUGGCUCACCUAGGCGACGAUCCCUAGCUGGUCUGAGAGGAUGACCAGCCACACUGGAACUGAGACACGGUCCAGACUCUACGGGAGGCAGCAGUGGGGAAUAUUGCACAAUGGGCGCAAGCCUGAUGCAGCCAUGCCGCGUGUAUGAAGAAGGCCUUCGGGUUGUAAAGUACUUUCAGCGGGGAGGAAGGCAUUGCGGUUAAUACCGCAGUGAUUGACGUUACCCGCAGAAGAAGCCCGGCUAACUCCGUGCCAGCACCGCGGUAAUACGGAGGGUGCAAGCGUUAAUCGGAAUUACUGGGCGUAAAGCGCACGCAGGCGGUCUGUCAAGUCGGAUGUGAAAUCCCCGGGCUCAACCCGGGAACUGCAUUCGAAACUGGCAGACUAGAGUCUUGUAGAGGGGGGUAGAAUUCCAGGUGUAGCGGUGAAAUGCGUAGAGAUCUGGAGGAAUACCGGUGGCGAAGGCGGCCCCCUGGACAAAGACUGACGCUCAGGUGCGAAAGCGUGGGGAGCAAACAGGAUUAGAUACCCUGGUAGUCCACGCCGUAAA